rnacentral:rRNA from 1 species
UACGGAGGGUGCAAGCGUUAUCCGGAUUCACUGGGUUUAAAGGGUGCGUAGGUGGAUUAGUAAGUCAGUGGUGAAAUCUCCGGGCUUAACCCGGAAACUGCCAUUGAUACUAUUAGUCUUGAAUACCGUGGAGGUCAGCGGAAUAUGUCAUGUAGCGGUGAAAUGCUUAGAUAUGACAUAGAACACCCAUUGCGAAGGCAGCUUACUACACGAUCAUUGACGCUGAGGCACGAAAGCGUGGGGAGCAAACAGG